rnacentral:snRNA from 1 species
AUCAUUUCUUGGCUUUUUGGCUAAGAUCAAAUGUAGUAUUUGUUCUUAUCAGUUUAAGAUGAACCCGGUGCCUCCAGGAGCAGUACACCCCCU